GACGAACGCUGGCGGCGUGCUUAACACAUGCAAGUCGAGCGGAGAUAUAUUGAAGAUUUAUCGGAUAUAUAUCUUAGCGGCGGACGGGUGAGUAACGCGUGGGCAAUCUGCCUCAUACAGGGGGAUAACACUGGGAAACUAGUGCUAAUACCGCAUAAAAUAAUGAAGUGGCAUCACUUUAUUAUCAAAGGAGCAAUCCGGUGUGAGAUGAGCCCGCGUCCGAUUAGCUAGUUGGUGGGGUAACGGCCUACCAAGGCGACGAUCGGUAGCCGAACUGAGAGGUUGAUCGGCCACAUUGGGACUGAGACACGGCCCAGACUCCUACGGGAGGCAGCAGUGGGGAAUAUUGCGCAAUGGGGGAAACCCUGACGCAGCAACGCCGCGUGAAGGAUGAAGGUUUUCGGAUUGUAAACUUCUUUGAUGAGGGACGAUAAUGACGGUACCUCAAAAACAAGCCACGGCUAACUACGUGCCAGCAGCCGCGGUAAAAGUC
rnacentral:rRNA from 1 species